rnacentral:rRNA from 1 species
AUUGAACGCUGGCGGCAUGCCUUACACAUGCAAGUCGAACGGUAACGCGGGGCAACCUGGCGACGAGUGGCGAACGGGUGAGUAAUGUAUCGGAACGUGCCCAGUAGUGGGGGAUAGCCCGGCGAAGGCCGGAUUAAUACCGCAUGAGACCUGAGGGUGAAAGCGGGGGAUCGCAAGACCUCGCGCUAUUGGAGCGGCCGAUAUCAGAUUAGGUAGUUGGUGGGGUAAAGGCCUGCCAAGCCUGCGAUCUGUAGCUGGUCUGAGAGGAUGACCAGCCACACUGGGACUGAGACACGGCCCAGACUCCUACGGGAGGCAGCAGUGGGGAAUUUUGGACAAUGGGCGCAAGCCUGAUCCAGCCAUGCCGCGUGCGGGAAGAAGGCCUUCGGGUUGUAAACCGCUUUUGUCAGGGAAGAAAUCUUCUGGGUUAAUACCUCGGGAGGAUGACGGUACCUGAAGAAUAAGCACCGGCUAACUACGUGCCAGCAGCCGCAGUAA